rnacentral:rRNA from 1 species
ACUCAAAUGAAUUGACGGGGGCCCGCACAAGCGGCGGAGCAUGUGGAUUAAUUCGAUGCAACGCGAAGAACCUUACCUGGGUUUGACAUGCACUAGACAGCCUCAGAGAUGGGGUUUCCCUUGUGGUUGGUGUACAGGUGGUGCAUGGCUGUCGUCAGCUCGUGUCGUGAGAUGUUGGGUUAAGUCCCGCAACGAGCGCAACCCUUGCCCUAUGUUGCCAGCGGGUUAUGCCGGGGACUCGUGGGGGACUGCCGGGGUCAACUCGGAGGAAGGUGGGGAUGACGUCAAGUCAUCAUGCCCCUUAUGCCCAGGGCUUCACACAUGCUACAAUGGCCGGUACAGAGGGCUGCGAGCUCGUGAGGGUGAGCGAAUCCCUUAAAGCCGGUCUCAGUUCGGAUCGGGGUCUGCAACUCGACCCCGUGAAGUCGGAGUCGCUAGUAAUCGCAGAUCAGCAUUGCUGCGGUGAAUACGUUCCCGGGCCUUGUACACACCGCCCGU